rnacentral:lncRNA from 1 species
UGGAGAACAAGAGAGGUUUUUCACUUGGAUUUCCUUGUGGGAUUGCUUGAUUAUAUGGAGAAAAAAGGGUCCCACAUAUUUGCAAGUGUCCAGGAUGAGUUCUUCACUUAUUUCACAAGCAGUUUUUCAGGUAACUGUCCACUAAUAAAGGAUGGAAGCUGGGACUCCCCAUCAGAAACUCAGGCCAAAGUCUCUGUCUCACUUUCAACACAGCCAUGGAUUACCCUUGGAAAAUUAUAAACUGUACCCAAAUUAAG